GACGAACGCUGGCGGCGUGCCUAAUACAUGCAAGUAGAACGCACAGGAUGCACCGUAGUUUACUACACCGUAUUCUGUGAGUUGCGAACGGGUGAGUAACGCGUAGGUAACCUGCCUGGUAGCGGGGGAUAACUAUUGGAAACGAUAGCUAAUACCGCAUAAGAACAUUUACUGCAUGGUAGAUGUUUAAAAGGUGCAAAUGCAUCACUACCAGAUGGACCUGCGUUGUAUUAGCUAGUAGGUGAGGUAACGGCUCACCUAGGCGACGAUACAUAGCCGACCUGAGAGGGUGAUCGGCCACACUGGGACUGAGACACGGCCCAGACUCCUACGGGAGGCAGCAGUAGGGAAUCUUCGGCAAUGGGGGGAACCCUGACCGAGCAACGCCGCGUGAGUGAAGAAGGUUUUCGGAUCGUAAAGCUCUGUUGUUAAGGAAGAACGAGUGUGAGAAUGGAAAGUUCAUACUGUGACGGUACUUACCAGAAA
rnacentral:rRNA from 1 species